rnacentral:rRNA from 1 species
AACGAACGCUGGCGGCAUGCCUAACACAUGCAAGUCGAACGAGACCUUCGGGUCUAGUGGCGCACGGGUGCGUAACGCGUGGGAACCUGCCCUUAGGUUCGGAAUAACUCCCCGACAGGGGUGCUAAUACCGGAUAAUGUCUUCGGACCAAAGAUUUAUCGCCUUUGGAUGGGCCCGCGUUGGAUUAGCUAGUUGGUAGGGUAAAAGCCUACCAAGGCGACGAUCCAUAGCUGGUUUGGGAGGAUGAUCAGCCACACUGGGACUGAGAAACGGCCCAGACUCCUACGGGAGGCAGCAGUGGGGAAUAUUGGACAAUGGGCGAAAGCCUGAUCCAGCAAUGCCGCGUGAGUGAUGAAGGCCUUAGGGUUGUAAAGCUCUUUUACCCGGGAUGAUAAUGACAGUACCGGGAGAAUAAGCUCCGGCUAACUCCGUG